UACGAAGGGGGCUAGCGUUGUUCGGAUUUACUGGGCGUAAAGCGCACGUAGGCGGAUCGUUAAGUCGGGGGUGAAAUCCUGGAGCUCAACUCCAGAACUGCCUUCGAUACUGGCGAUCUUGAGUCCGGAAGAGGUGAGUGGAACUCCUAGUGUAGAGGUGGAAUUCGUAGAUAUUAGGAAGAACACCGGUGGCGAAGGCGGCUCUCUGGACCGAUACUGACGCUGAGGCGCGAAAGCGUGGGGAGCAAACAGG
rnacentral:rRNA from 1 species